rnacentral:tRNA from 1 species
GCCUGGCUGGCUCAGUCGGUAGAGCAUGCAACUCUUGAUCUCGGGGUCGUGAGUUCAAGCCCCACGAUGGGUG